rnacentral:rRNA from 1 species
GAUGAACGCUAGCUACAGGCUUAACACAUGCAAGUCGAGGGACCGGCGCACGUGAGAGUAACACGUAUCCCACCUGCCCUUUACUCGGUGAUAGCCUUUCGAAAGAAAGAUUACUACCCGAUAUAAAGGAUGGGGAUGCGUUCCAUUAGUUUGUUGGUGAGGUACCGGCUAAGCAAGCCUUCGAUGGAUAGGGGUUCUGAGAGGAAGGUCCCCCAGAACGGAACUGGGGCACGGACCAAUACGCGACGGAGGGGAGUAGUGAGGAGGAUUGGGCAAUGGGCGCUAGCCUGAACCAGCCAAGUAGCGGGAAGGAUGAAUGCUUAUGGGUCGUCAACUACUUUGAUAUAAGAAGAUGUAUUAUAUGAAUAAGGAUCGGCUAACUCCGUGCCAGCAGCCGCGGUAAUUC